GAGCAGGCGCGAAAACUUUACAAUGCGGGAAACCGUGAUAAGGGGACACCGAGUGCCAGCAUCAUAUGCUGGCUGUCCGGAUGUGUAAAAUACAUCCGUUAGCAAGGGCCGGGCAAGACCGGUGCCAGCCGCCGCGGUAACACCGGCGGCCCGAGUGGUGAUCGUGAUUAUUGGAUCUAAAGGGUCCGUAGCCGGUUUGGUCAGUCCUCCGGGAAAUCUGAUAGCUUAACUAUUAGGCUUUCGGGGGAUACUGCCAGACUUGGAACCGGGAGAGGUAGGAGGUACUACAGGGGUAGGAGUGAAAUCUUGUAAUCCCUGUGGGACCACCUGUGGCGAAGGCGUCUUACCAGAACGGGUUCGACGGUGAGGGACGAAAGCUGGGGGCACGAACCGGAUUAGAUACCCGGGUAGUCCCAGCCGUAAACGAUGCUCGCUAGGUGUCAGGCAUGGCGCGACCGUGUCUGGUGCCGCAGGGAAGCCGUGAAGCGAGCCACCUGGGAAGUACGGCCGCAAGGCUGAAACUUAAAGGAAUUGGCGGGGGAGCACAACAACGGGUGGAGCCUGCGGUUUAAUUGGACUCAACGCCGGAAA
rnacentral:rRNA from 1 species